rnacentral:rRNA from 1 species
GCGCAGCAGGCGCGAAUCGUUCACAAUGGGCGCAAGCCUGAUGGCGCGACGCCGCGUGUGGGAUGGAGGCCUUCGGGUUGUAAACCACUGUCACAGGGGAAGAAAGGCACGGAUGCUAACAUCGUCCGUGUUUGACGUUACCCUGAGAGGAAGCCACGGCUAACUCCGUGCCAGCAGCCGCGGUAAUACGGAGGUGGCAAGCGUUGUUCGGAAUUACUGGGCGUAAAGGGUGC